GGUGUAUGUCACGAGCAGAGGGCAAGGGAAAAGGGAAAAACCCUUCUCCUUCAAUUGAACUCAAGAUUCAGCAAAUUGGUGAUGGUUUUAAACACAAAUCGAAUGCAUGAGCUUAGUUACUCCAUAACCUAAGUGGUUUGAACAUAAGUAUAGGGAUCAUAUCAAGAUGGAUGGAAGCAUGAAGGGCUAACGGGUCAAGAGGACAUGGGGAAGCGAACGCAAAUACGGAUGCGUAAGGUUGUACGGGAGACGGAGGAUCAUCAAGGUAUAAAGAUCGAGGACCGAGUCACUUGAGGGAUUGUACGGGGUUGUCUAAGGAUGUAAUUUGUUGUACAUAAGCUAUGAUUUAUUCUAUAAUUGAGUCAGUUGUUGUAUUCUAUAUAAAAAGAGUUAUUUUAAAAAGUAAACUUUCAAGUAAGAAGCAUGGUUUAUAAUGUAAGAAAUUUUUAUGGCAAGGACUUCCGCUGCGACUUUCGUCAAUUACGUGUUAGGGCGUUACAAGUUGGUAUCAGAGCCCUGGUUUGAGAGAAUCAAGUACAAGAGGAUAGGUACUUGAACUCGAACCUGUGUGCUCUUAUCACAAGAAACCCGUACAAUCCGAGACUCGACCAAGAUCUAAAGGUAGAAGCAAAGGUAAGUACGUGCUUAAGUAUGUAUUGGAAGAUAACUAACUAUAUGUUAUGUGUAAGGUAACCAUGGUUGCUUGAAAAGAAUGAUUUGUGGAUGCGGUCUAGCACCGACGCCAAGGAAUCACGAUGCGAAGAAACUACCUAGAACGGUGAAAGAAUGCUCAUGAAUGAAAGCUUAUGACGCCCGAUGGACAAGAUCAACCCUAUUAAGUUAUGGAUUCAUGAAGGAGCAAGUCAACUCGGGUUGUUACA